GCACAGAGGGAAAGAAGAAUCUCAACAUACAGUCCUCAGCAGCUUUAGCAUGGGCAACAAAUUAAGUCUCUGUAAAAGGCCCAAAGGACAGGGUUUGGUGAGAUUCUGGAGAGCUGGAAACAUGGAGGUUGACAGGAAUGUAAAGAAGAACUCAUUUACAUGCCAGGAGGGUGGAACACCCCAAUUCCAUGAGGAUAACUGCUCCUGUACUCCAGACCUCACCCCAUGUGUCUCUUCAUCUGGCUGGUUAUUUGUCCUUUAAGAUCUCCUUACUCAACCAGUAAAUGUGUCUUUACAUUGUUUUAGUCUUGAACUAGAAGAUGAAAGCAUCAAAUAAAGAAAUAUACUGUGGGUAUAUGGAUUACAAAAAAAGCCCAAAUCUGCUCUUCUGACUCUGCAUCAGUGCAUGUCAAUACCAUCCAAGUUAUGACUCAAGAUGGAAACAAGAAAGUCAUCCUUCACAUUUGCCUGCCCCUUAAUUUUCACUGAGUCUCUUAAAGAUUAUUCCUGAAAUAUC
ensembl:lncRNA novel transcript